UACGUAGGGUGCAAGCGUUAAUCGGAAUUACUGGGCGUAAAGCGUGCGCAGGCGGUUAUGUAAGUCAUAUGUGAAAUGCCCGGGCUUAACCUGGGAACUGCAUUUGUGACUGCAUGGCUAGAGUUUGGCAGAGGGGGGUAGAAUUCCACGUGUAGCAGUGAAAUGCGUAGAUAUGUGGAGGAACACCGAUGGCGAAGGCAGCCCCCUGGGUCAAGACUGACGCUCAUGCACGAAAGCGUGGGGAGCAAACAGG
rnacentral:rRNA from 1 species